CAGACCUAAAUUUUUUUUUGAUGCUUCUCAGUUUGGAUGUUCUUAGUAGUUAGGAAAACCAAUAAAGCUUGUCCAACAAGUUUCACUUAGCUGUGGUCUAUUUGAUUUUUCCCCUCUUAAUAUCAGCACAACUGUUCCAUAAUUGUAGUAGAUUGUUGCAUUUGGCUUUUAGUUAGUUCUGUUUAACCAAACUUGGCAUUAAUUCUUUGAGUUUUAACAUACUACCAAUUUGUGGGAACUUAUUCUGACAUGAAGCAUAGUGCUCUUAAUAGACACGAGCUGCCGAGCCCUUAUUCUACUAAUAGCAUAAUUUGAAUAUCGUAUUGACUUAAAAUACUCAUUGCCUGUUCUUGUGAUUACAUCACUGCAAGUAAAUAAUUACAUAAAGUCAGAAAGGAACCAUUGAAGUUAUUUUCCUUCUUUCAGACAUUAUUUUUUAAGACAUUUUCAUGAUAUCAUCCUAGCAUGUGUCAUUUUUUUUUCUUUUUCUUUUUUAUGUUUUAACCUAGGGCCCAAUCAUAAUCUUGAUGGUGCAAUUAAUUUCAUGGAAUUUAAGUGAUGAGCUUCUUAGACAUUACUAGAUCAAGUGAAUCUAUAUGAUAUUCUGCACUGACCUUAGCUGUAUCAAACUCGUAAAUGAUUUAUUCCUUCUUAAUAUCAUGCUAUUUAGGUGAUGGAAACUAUCUGCUGCAGAGAUACUAACAGCCACAUGGUAUUUGAGAUGAUGACAUGUUCAAUUGACCAUAACUGUAGUUGUCAUCCUCUGCAGUAAAUCACAAACUCUUUAAGUGCCCAUUAGGUCAUUCUCUGCUCAUCAUGCAUCACCAGCCUUAGAGUCAUCAUUGGAGAAAUUGCUUUGCCCUUCUCCCCAACUUCCAUUUGGUUGGCUACAAGUCUCAUCCUUCAAGAAUGCUCUGGAACUUGUAUAAGCUUCAUCAGUAGAAAAGCAGUUUUUCAACUUUUGCUAAUAAUUUUUCUAGAGGACAUUUCUUAAUAAAUUAUACAAGGCAAAACUGACAAUAUGAGAAUCAAUUUAUGUUGAACUUGAUAAAACAAGUUAAUUUGAGCAUCUGUGUAGGCUUAACUUGGACUUUUUUUAACACUUAUGAGCAAUGCCUUGAUUUUUGUCCUUUGUUGUAUAAAAUUUUGAAAAACAUGAUGGAAAUUUUAAAAAAUACUAGAUAAUUCUAGUUUAAACAUUGCGCAAGUAUUAUAACAUGCUUAAACAUUUUAGUGUUUCAGGCAAAUGACUGCACAACCUUCAUUUCUGAAAAAUUUGAUGAUCCAAAUCAUGUUAAGAGUUGAUAUAUACGUAAAAAAAAGUUGAAUAGUUCAUAUUACGUAAUCAAAUCAUAAUGUUUAUUGCUUGAACUAAUUUCAUGUCUCUAGCAGAAGAUUUAAUUUUCAUUCUUAUUUUUCUAAGAUAUUUAUAAUUUUGAACAUGCUAUAGGUUAUAAUAGAUGUGUCUAAACUAAUUCAUUGUUUAGACUUUAGAGGCAAAAGCUCUAUUUUUUAAUCUUUAUAUUUUACAAAAUAUUUGGGCAAUAGGUAAUAAAGUUUGUAAUAUUUAUGUUCUAGUCUUUAAAAAUUGUAGAGUAUAGGUAUCCCUGAAAAUUGUAGAGCAUAGGGGAAACGACUCCAAUUUUUCUUUAAUUUUGAAGAAAAAUCUUUAAAAAGUUUAUAAAUUUUGAGUUAAAGAAAUCCAAUCUUUCCAUUUCUUUAUGCUUGUUUGAGAAUAAUCUAGUGCCAAAAUAAGCUCGUCGAAACAAUGUAACAAAUUGAAGUGAAGUUGGAAGAAGAAGUUAUAGAGAAACAGGAGAUGUGCAUAAAUACAUGUUGAAAUCCUAAGGUGAAUCAAAGAAUAGGAACUUUUGGCUGCGCAAGGAGUUUGUGCUACACAGGAACAAUGCAGCAAUAUGUACUUGGUUAAUGGGAUACAAUAGUUAAGACAAUUUUCUAAAGGCAACACAAAUACCCUCUCCCUCCUUUCUUCUCUCUUUAUAUUAAUAUUAGGAAAAAUUAUAUGAAAACCCCCUCAACUUAGGGUUAUUUUUACCUAGUAUUCGUCGAGUUUAAAAGUUUUAAUGUGGUUAUUGAAGUUAGUUAAGUGGUUCAAUGUGACAACUUAGGGUUAUUUUUACCUAAUAUUUUUCGAGUUUAAAAGUUUUAAUAUGGUUACUGAAGUUAGUUAAGUGGUUCAAUGUGACCCAAGCCCCACUUGGUGCCCAAUGCCAUUAAGAUGUCGUGUAAAAGGACAUAAUUACCGCCCUCUCCAGUCCUUUUCUUUGUUUCUUCCCAAGAUACACCCCUUCUCCAAAACUCUUCUCUCUCUUCCCCCUUUUCCGUCACCUCUCGUUGGUAGAGACCAUGAGAUAAGAUCCUAUUCCCCAUCUCCACUGGGUCCUAAGAGUUGGUGGCAUUAAAUGCAGUCCAAUUGAGCUCGAACCUGUCACGUUCUUUCCAUCUGUUGUUGAAUUACCAUUCCUCUUCCUCCACUUGUCCUUUGCCGCUGACGAAGAGGACCUCCUCUCCUUGUCCCGGGUCCAGAAGCUCUUGGACAUCUUUCUCAUAAGAAAAGUUCCACAUGAUCCUCUUCAAUAGUAAGGGAUCCUCUCUUGUUCCCUGGUCAUCGACCUCAUAUCCGACUUCUUUGAGCAUGGUGUCAAAGCCCUCGAUAAUUGCAAUGCUAUUAGGGAUGGGAUUGACUAUAUCUAGUAGUGGAAGAAGCACCUCGCGGUCUCGUAGCCCUCAAUCCUUCCCAUAAGACCCUCAAUGAGGGCUAGCUCCGCGGCUCCGCCACACCCUCAAGGCCCUCGCUAACCUCACCAUUCCCAUGCUUAAUGAGGAGGCUGGCUGCAUCUUUAACCAUUGCAACCCACUUGCAGCAUUAGAUGGAAAGAAAAAGACAAUGAUGAGGAAGGCAUAUUUUCCCCAGGUGUUUUAAUGGAGGCUGCCUUGUGAUGUUCUCCUUCUCCUCCUCCUCCUUCUUCUCUUCCAAGGAGUGAGGAAAUCAAAACUCCUUUAUCCAUGGCUUAGGCUGAUGGUGUCUUCUUUUUCUUCUUGUUAUAACAUCAAGAUUAUUCAGUAAUAGAAGGAGAUAUCUCUUCGCAAAAAGGGCUAGUAGCUUGAGUCUUUUUCCUUUUCUUUUUCUUUUCCUUCUAAUAGUUUGAUUAGGUGAAAAUUGAAAUGUCUGUUUAUGCCUUAGGUAAUAGCACUGUUUUUGUAGUUUCAAGUAUAAGGGCAGCCAAGCAUCAAGCGACUGUUAUUCUCGGAAAGUUAGCUUAUUCCAAAAUCAAAAUGUGCUGAAGGGCCAUGUCAGAGGGAGCAGAAUGGUAGAAAAUGCAGUCCUUUCAGCUAAUACCUGGUGAUAGUUCACAUGUAUCACCAUACUAAGUUUUUGAGAGUGGAGUUCGCAGUCAUCUAGAGAACAGGAUGCCUCAAGGUCCCUCUCAUAUCAUUGUAAUUUUUAUUCUUUUCUUGUGCGUGCAAUGGACAAAGGACAGUAACAUUAAAAUCUAAUUUAUAGCAACGCAUUAAGGGAGUCAAAUUCCUUUUUUUUGUUACUUUUCUCCCCUUUCUUUAUCAUUAUACAUGCCUUUUGAGUGAUUAUUUUGCUUUUACAUAAGAAGUCUCUAGAAAUCUCUGACAUCUGGUUCCCCAUUUCUUCUAUUUAGUUCAUUUUUUGUAAAAUUAUCUAUAUAUGCAAUUCACUUGUAUGACUGCUAAUCAGCUUAUGCUUUAGUCUUAUUUUUUUUCCCUUCAUUCUCUCAUUGUUGUAUUGC